rnacentral:rRNA from 1 species
GAUUAUGGCUCAGAACGAACGCUGGUGGCGUGUCUUAUACAUGCAAGUCGAGCGAGGCAGCAAUGCCGAGCGGCGAACGGGUGAGUAACGCGUAAGCAAUCUGCCCCAUAUCAGGAAAUACCCGUGCCAACGCGCGGUUAAUGUCCAGGAGAGUGGCCCUCCGCAUGGAGGGUUGACUAGAGAUUCAUCGGUAUGGGAUGAGCUUGCGUCCGAUUAGCUAGUUGGCGGGGCAACGGCCCACCAAGGCGACGAUCGGUAGCCGGCCUGAGAGGGUGAUCGGCCACAUUGGGACUGAGAUACGGCCCAGACUCCUACGGGAGGCAGCAGUAGGGAAUAUUGCACAAUGGGGGAAACCCUGAUGCAGCAACGCCAACCGUGUGGGAAGAAGCAUUUCGGUGUGUAAACCACUGUCAUGAGGGAAUAAGGCCCGCCUUCGGACGGGAUUGAAUGUACCUUGAGAGGAAGCACCGGCAAACUUCGUGCCAGCCGCGGC